GUAAUUUUUAGGAGGCUGUACGGCGUCUCUGAGGCACACUGCAGGCACUAUGAACCAGAGCAAAGACUAACGUCGCCUCAUAACAAAGCCGUGACCUCCGAUUUGCUUGGGGCUAUUUCAGCAAGUCCAGCUUUACUGCUGAGAAUGACGACAUUGUUUCUGCCCGUAAGACGUAUUAUGAGUCGGUACGCCGGAGUUUCAGAUACAAACAACCUGAACUCGCAUCGCAGGCGGAAAAUGCGAAAAGUUUAGCUCGUAGUCGAUCCAGAAGAAAAAGGUUGCUGGAAGUGAGACGAAGUGUGCUGGCUGAGGAUGAGUUGGACAUUUGGAAGUGCGCCACCAUAGAUCUCAUAUCUGAUGAGGAAGACGGCAUUGUUGGCGGGGUGUCUAGAUGGAUUGUGCGGCCACCGCCCUCUCGCAGCCUGGAACUCUCCGAGCUCUGUGCCACGCUGCAAUCCAGAUUAGAGGCGAUACCAAAGUACAGGGCAACUCACCAUAUACGCCUGAAAAAGUGACUUUUUAACAACGUUUUUGAUUUUUUUUCAACACUUUGAUCACUUUUUUUUCAACACUUUGAUCACUUUGAAAAAUAUUUUUAGGGAUCUUUCCCGAACGUCUUAGGCCCUUUUUGACGUGUUUGGAGGA